GCAGCAGCAGCAGCAGCAGGGACUGAAAGGCUCCAGCUUAGAAAGAGUCAUCCAAAGAGGGACAAUCUGUCCAUUGUCCAACCUCCCCCACCCCACAACCCCAGAGCACAGUGGGGAAAAGCAGAGUCCCGUGACUUCCCUGAAGUCUGAAAGUGAGGGGGUGGUAGGGCCAAGAUGGGCCUUUGGGCCUCUUCUCCCCACACUGUGCUUCCCUGGAUCCCCGGUUGGAGAGAGAAAGCGAGGGGAGGUUCAGAUGACGGCCAAAGUCAGGCAGUGGCUGAGUCCUAACAGCCAGACCACUUUACAUGGAUUAGAGUUCAUUCCAUCUUCACCACAACAGUGUUAGGCAGGGCUGUUGUGCUCCUAGUCUACAGAUGGGGAAACAGGCAUGGCGGGGGGCCGGGGGGAGGCGCGUGGAAAUCACUUCCCAAGGUGAGGCCUGAUAAAGGUAGCUGCUGCUAUUUCCACUUUUUUAGACAAGGAAAUGAAGGCCCAGAGAGGAGAUUCUAUGUGCCUAAGAACGUUAGCUCAGAAGUGGCAGGGGUGGAGUCUGAACCAGAGAGCCUGGUGACUCUCGGCAGUGGACCAAGCUGCCCCGAGGUGCGCAACACUGAGAGCUCUGUUCUCGGCCUUGCCAGCGGCUGGCUGGGGGACCUGGGACAAAGCAUCUGACUUCUCUGAGCUCCGCCUUCAAGUCUCUCUGAUGAGUCGACCCCAGGCACACGCUCAAUCAGCACCGGAUGUCAGCAGAUAGGGGGCAAGGUCCUGCCAAGUGAGUGCUUUUGGCCCUGGGCCUAUUCCUUGGAGCUGGGAUGCUCAGGGUGAUUAAUAAACAGCUUUCCAGAUGAACUUGACACUCGAGGUUUGGAUGUUGUGACUCCUCCAAAUUCCCACAGCCUCUCACAGAUAAAAGAGGGAGGGGGACAGGCUGGGAGGCUGACGGUCAAAUCCUGGCUGUGACAGCCUCAGGGAAAGCCACAUAGGUCUGCUGAGCCUCAGUUUCGCCGGCAGUAAAACGGGAAUAACAACAGGACCUACCGCAGAGGGCUGUUCAGGGAUGCAUGAGCGCACCGAGCUUCUGGGACAGUGCCUGACCCCUAACAGACUCUAAGUGAGUGUUGCCCUAAUUCUAUGCCUUGUGGCAGUGUGGGAUCAGAGCAAAGCCUCAGCCUGCUUUGAUGCAGAAGGCAUCUGCAAGACAGGAAAAGAGCUCUCACCAGAAACCAGCCAGGCUGGCACCUCGAUCUUAAGACUUCCAGCCUCCAGAACUGUGUGAGAAAAGUCUCGCCUCCUCACACAGUGGUAUAUACUCUGCGAAGAAUUUGAAAACCACAGUGGUUUCUCUACAGCUUCCAGUGUGGCAGGCAAGAGCCUCAUGUGGGUACCACACACUGGAAAUGUGGAAGAGACACCAGGGAUGCAGAAGCAGAGGAUCGCGGUAAGAAGGCAGCCAUCUGCAAACCAAGGAGAGAACUUUCACCAGAAGCCAACCCUGCCAGCACCUUGAUCUUGGACUUCCCUGCUUCUAGAACUGUGAGAAAAUAAAAUUCUAUUGUUUAAACUACCUGGUCUGUGGCACUCUGCUAUGGUAGCCAGAGCUGCCCAUCUAGCUCCAAAAGCUGCCAUCUCAUGGCUGGGUUUGUCAGUUCUUUAGGUCAUAGUCCCAUCAGGGGAGAGUGGAUCUGUCUGUUCACACAGCCUUGCACACAGGAGGUGUUCAAUAAAUGUCUGCUGAAGAACGACUGUCACUGUCUAUGUGUCAUCCUUCAGGGUGAUCCUCAGGCUGGAGAGGAACUGAUAGCAGUGGGGGAUGCUCUUUAGAGAUGUCUGGAGAAGUACCAGGCAUCCUGAUCGGGGCUCCUGUUCUAGUUAAGGGAGAGUUGAUGCUUCGUCCUGACCUCCUCUGGAUGCCACGCAUUCACCCAUCGUCAGCAUUGGAUGACACUCCCGUGCUCAGGCUAACUUCUCAUCUGGAUGUUGUUCUAUUUUCCUAACCAGAUCAUGAGCAUCUAGACAGCUAGGACUGGGGGGGGGUUGUCAUUUUUCUUUUUAACAAUUUCAAUAUUUAGUCAAGGAUUACUUGACUUAAUUUCAUAUGCAGCUGUUAAAAGUAGAGAAAUAAAAACAAUAGAGAAAAGUAACAGCACAUAUAUCACCAAAUUGGGCCCAACUUUUUUGGCAUUUAAAAAAGUGAAAUAAAAUAAUGCAUGUAAAGUGUUAACACAGUGUCUGACACAUAACUGAUGUCCAAUAAAUUCAUUUUCUCAUCUAUUUAUUGAGCAUCUUUGAGGGAUGGGGGCUGUUCUAGGCACUGGGCAUUCACCACCUCAGACUGACCCAAACCUAUACCCUUGCAGAGCUGAUACUCUGAAGGCUGAGGCAAGCAAUAGAAGAAAUCAUGAUACAGAAAGUGAGUAAGUGAGAAUCUGAUCAAGUGCAAGGGAAGAAAACAAAGCUGGGAGGGGAUAGGAGUCUGGGGUAGGGAUGUGUGUCCUGCCUAGUAGGGCCAGGGAAGGCCUUGGGAGAAGAGGACAGUUGAGCAGACUUGUAGAAGAGGAGGGAGAGUGUCAUUCAGCCAUCUCAAGGGAAGAGUAUUCUAGGAGACAGAAUAGCGGGUGCAAAGGCCCUGGGGCAGGAGUAUGUUUGGCUUGUUUGAGUAGCAGCAAAGAGGCCAGUGCAGUGGGAGAAGGUAGGGGAAGAGGAGAAGAAGUCAGGGAUCAAAGGGUAGAGGGCAGAGCUUUGGAGGUCACUGUGAGAACUAGGACUUUUUCCCUGGAAAGGAAUGAAGAGCCACAGGAGGGUUUACAGCAGGUGAGGGACAUGGUCUACAAAUGUUUCAGUAGGAUCCCCCAGGCUACUGUAUGCACAAUGGACUGAGGGGGCUGGGGUGGGAGCAGGGUGACCAGGGAGGUGGCUACUUUAACAGUCCAGGCGAGAAGGAUGGCAUUUCCGAGAGGGUGGAGUCAGUGGAGGUGGGGGGAAGUCCUGGGGUUCAGGAUCCAUCCUGAAGGUCCAGCCACAGGAUCUGUUUCUCAAAAUACAGUGUAGAUACGGGGGGACGGUGAGAGGAAGAGAGGAAAUGAGGACAUUUCAUGGUCUGGAGUGUGAACAACUGGAUGAUCUUCAACAACUGAUGCUGUGAUUUUCUCCUCCCUCAGAGGCAAAUCAGGAGUGGGCACUAAAUCCACAGACUGAGUGAAAAAAUGAAUGAAUGAGAUAAGGAAGGAGUUAAAGAGGCUCUCGGAGUGAAUCCUUCUGAGCUACAAACUUAAAUAAAAACCCGUGCCUAGAAAGAUGAUGAAGAAUGACGCCCUGCAAGUAGCCCAGAUUAUGCUGCAACCUGGAGGGCUCUGUGGAGAUCUCGUGCCAGCUCUCUGAUGGAGUCACUCAUAGAGUGAGGGCACACAGGCCUAGGAUCUGCCUGAGAGGUCCCAGCAUCUCAGGGAAGCAGACAGCAGUGUGGGAAACAGGCAAUGCUGGACUUGGCAGUGGGCAGGCCUGGGUUCUGGUUUCAGCUGGGGCCUUGGGUCCUUGUUCACCUUUGGGCAAGUCAUGCCCCCUUUCUGAGCCUCAGCUUCCCCAUCUGUAAAAUGAAGGUGCUGGGUUUACAGUCCCUUACUCAAACUCACCUAAGCAGAAAGACAGGCAGACACUCUCCUUUCCAUACAUUGGUCUCCACCUCACUGGGAUUUUAAUCAAAAGCAGUGGAAGGCCUCGGAAACCCACCCAGGCUUGGACCGAGGGGUGGGUCUGCUGGGAGAGCAUGAGGCAGGAAAGAGAAACACCGUGCAAUUUUAUUUUAAUAUUUGUAAUUAUUCCCAGGCUAAAAAUAAGGCACAGAGCAAAGUGUUUUCAAAUGUCGGCAUUAAUGAACACUUUUUAUCCAACAUAAUACGGGCCCCUGAAUGCAUUUAUGUCAGGCUCCGAGAUCUCACGAGCAGUGCCCCUCGCCGGGCUGGCUUUCACGGCUUGGAAGCGGUGCAAAAAUGAAAUGUCCCACAAGUGCAUGCUGGCAGGCCUGCUAUUAGCAACAGUAUAAUCAUCAAUUACGUCCAAUCACAAACUACUGAUUUUAUAAUUAUCAAAUGAAGUUCUAACUUCUCACCUCUGCUCAGCGGCAACUAAUAUAAUCUCUCAGUUCAAAAAAAGGAAGCUUUUUUUUUUUUUCUUUCCCUGUUCCUCUCAUGCUCUUUCUCUCUCUUCUGGGGAAAAGAAUUUCCAGGCCUCCACAUAAGACUGCAUUUAAAUUGCUUGUCACUCAAAACAAAGGCGAACCACUCAUUUGUAAUUCACCAGCCACCUGAACAGACUGCCUGUUUUCCUUUAAGCAUCCAUGCACUGAAGCACAAAGAUCAUUUUUCUAUUGUUAAAAUUGUAUAAGCCAGAGCUUUUUUUAGCAGCGAAUACACAAUUUCACUUCUCUUCUGAG